GUCUGGUCUGGGGUCUGUUUUAGUUUAGAGGGUCUGGUCUUGGAUCUGUAUUAGUUUAUUGGGUCUGGUCUGGGGUCUGUAUUAGUUUAGAAGGUCUGGUCUUGGAUCUGUAUUAGUUUAGGGGGUCUGGUCUGGGGUCUGUAUUAGUUUAGGGGGUCUGGUCUGGGGUCUGUAUUAGUUUAGGGGGUCUGCUCUGUGGUCUGUAUUAGCUUAGAAGGUCAGGUCUCAGAUCUGUAUUAGUUUAGAGGGUCUGGUCUGGGCGUUUUAUUAGUUUAGAAGGUCUGGUCUAGGGUCUGUAUUAGUUUAGGGGGUCUGGUCUGGGGUCUAUAUUAGUUUAGGGGGUCGGGUCUGUGGUCUGUAU